ensembl:lincRNA Gm37986 predicted gene, 37986
CCUGGGGCCAAGGGUUACUCCUCCCACCCACGGCUUCCAUAGCAGUGAUAGGCACUGACCUUUGAGUAAACUGCCCCGUGGAAACUGCGCCGUCACCAGUGACCCAGACUCCACCUAUGUUUUCAGAAGCAGAGGCCGGGGUUGUGGCUCAGGGAUCGUGUGUUUGCCUACAACGUCUGAGAGCCUGGGUCCCACCCUCAGCUCUGCCACCAGGUAAAUCUACAAGGCGUUCUGUCCGACAAACUGGAAAGCUGGGCUAUGUGGGCAGUCAUCCUGACUACCCGCUUCUGGCUUCCCUUUCUUUUAUGGGUUUUGUUUGUAUCUUUAAUAUUGUGGAGGCUUUUAAAAUACAGAGUACUGAGUGUAGACUUGGCUACAACUAA